AUGAACGUUGUUUCGAGACCUUUCGUAAUUAGGUAAGAAUUAAAACUUUUAAAACUAAUAGGAAGAUCAAAUCUUCACCUUGCGCGGGUAGAUGAUCACCGCGAAUCUGAAUUCGUGAUUUUAGGAAGAGGGUUCGCUUGAAGCCGUUCAAACGUCCGGCCUCUACGGGUAUCCACACGAAGCAGAGGACCGAUCAAAGCUUUCUCGUCUCCCCGGGGUGCUAGCUCCCUUGCAGAGACUUCCUUUGAUGGCU
rnacentral:lncRNA from 1 species